UCCCUGGUGGUCCAGUGGCUAAGACUCUGCACUCCCAACGCAGGGGUCUGGGUUCCAUCCCUGAUCAGGGAA
rfam:Ovis aries breed Texel chromosome 3, whole genome shotgun sequence.